AAUGAACGCUGGCGGCGCGCCUAAUACAUGCAAGUCGAGCGAGAAGACGUAGCAAUACGUUUGUAAAGCGGCGAACGGGUGAGGAAUACAUGGGUAACCUACCCUCGAGUGGGGAAUAACUAGCCGAAAGGUUAGCUAAUACCGCGUACGCUUCUUGGACUUCGGUUCAGGGAGGAAAGCGAUGCCGAGGGUAUCGCGCUCUUGGAUGGGCUCAUGUCCUAUCAGCUUG
rnacentral:rRNA from 1 species